rnacentral:miRNA from 1 species
GACGUCGAUAUUCGACGUCAUAAACACGAGCAAGUUUGGUGUUUAUGACGUCGAUAUUCGACGUCAUAAACACGAGCAAGUUUGGUGUUUAUGACGUCGAUAUUCGACCUCAUAAACACGAGCAAGUUUGGUGUUUAUGACGUCGAUAUUCGACGUCAUAAACACGAGCAAGUUUGGUGUUUAUGACGUCGAUAUUCGACGUCAUAAACACGAGCAACUUUGGUGUUUAUGACGUCGAUAUUCGACGUC